UACGUAGGGUGCGAGCGUUAAUCGGAAUUACUGGGCGUAAAGCGUGCGCAGGCGGUCUCGUAAGCUGGGUGUGAAAGCCCCGGGCUUAACCUGGGAAUGGCAUUCAGGACUGCGAGGCUCGAGUGUGGCAGAGGGAGGUGGAAUUCCACGUGUAGCAGUGAAAUGCGUAGAGAUGUGGAUGAACACCGAUGGCGAAGGCAACCUCCUGGGCCAGCACUGACGCUCAUGCACGAAAGCUUGGGGAGCAAUCAUG
rnacentral:rRNA from 1 species